ACGCAUAUAAAGAGUUGCUGUUUUUUUUUUUCUUACCUUUAACUCUUUGUGUAGCAAGGGGAGGAUCGAAGAUGAGUACAGUUCAGUUGCACCCCCAUUUCGUUGCGGCGUGUAACUAUGCCGAUGUUAGCUCCGUCGUAGGACUGCUGAAGGAGCCUAUUGACAGCGGCGACUUCAAGACAAACGACGGCGCUCCGUACCUCCCAUCGGCGUACACGAGCACCAUUCACCUGGGUGAUGCGCUGAGUGGGUUGUCGUAUUCGACUCGCCCGCCGUCGCCGCGGAAGCAGACUUCGAUUCUUACGACGAGCGCCCAAACCCCUUUCGCUACACACGCACCGAUGGCGUCGAAGCGGUCACCUCUUUCUUUGAUUGAGGCGGAUAUCGGGUCGGAGGACGAGAAGGCCACUCCUUUCUUAAUUGCUCCGUCGCAAACGUCGCCGACGCCGACCAGCUCGCGGCUGCGACUGAGCCAUUGCCAGUCGUUGAAGGGCGUCGAGCCACGCCGGCCAAAGGUGCUGUGCAUAUGGGACGUGGACGACACCCUCGUUGCAUCCGGAGCCAGCGGGGUUCGUCAGAACACUGUGUUCCGGGAUUCGGAACUGGUUGAACUCUUCCGCAGCGCCGGUGACACCGCGCGCCAUUUGCUUCUCUCGCAAGGGAGCAUCGACGAUGUCUUAGAGAGGCCGGGCGGGCGACUGUGGUGCGUGCGGCCCUUUCUGGAGCGCACCACUGGCUCCACCGGCGAUGGCCGUGCGACGGCCGGCUACACAGGUCGUUCCUCCUCGCCGCCAGCCUCGUCUCGCGGAGGCGCGCAGAAAGGGAAGUCGUUAUUUGCGAACUUUCUCCGUUGCGGGGGUGGCAGCCGGACAAAGGCGCAGCCGUCGUCAGCGUCGUCGGUGACCAGUCAAACCGGUGCAUGCAGUGGAGGCCGAGCGGCUAGAGAUGACUUGAGCGACCACGACCUGCGACACUUUGCAUCAGGCACGGUUGUGGUGCGCCUCGCCACCGUGCGGGAACGCAGCGAACAGGAAGAGGACUCUGCGUUUCUGGACGACCCGAGGGCGUCGCCGACGUGCAACCGCACCUUCGAUGGGCAGCUGGACGACAAGGCAGAACAGCAGGGCCGAUGGCUCAUUCUUCGACCGGAGGUGUGGGGCAUCACACUCGCGUCAAUGAGCACGUUCUUCCCACCGUCGCGCAACACAGCGUUCGUGAACGGCAAAGUAUACCGCAAGAUGGACGUCGUCUGGUCGCUUGCCAUGUCCAGCGAGUGGGACUCCGUCUUCUUCAUCGACAACAACCUCUCUGAGCUGGGCGUGGUGCGCUAUGGGCUGCAGAUGUCGGACAUGCUCGAUUUGCGGCGCCAGCACAAGGUGUAUCGUUUCUUCCAGGCCGAUUAUCUGCUCCUCGCGACCUCGGCGAAGCUUCGCGAUCUGGGACUGCGGUAUGGUCGUGACAUCACAAGGGCGCCCGACACCGCCGAGCUCGCGCCGUCGCUGGAAGACCAGCAGAAUCGUAGUAGUUGCGACCAGCAAGCACAGAAAGCGGCGUCCGUCGCUGCCACCAGCUCAAGCUCCUCGGCAACAGCACCAAAGAGCAGCAAAACCGAAGAGGCGAGCGAGUGGAAGUGGUGCAAAUCCGCUGCAGUGUCCAGCUCUGGCAGCGCUGACACCACAGGCUCCCGAACCAGUGGUGUAGCGAGCAGCGACGUCGGCCACUACGCAUCCUGGAAGGGGUGCUCAUCGAUGCGGGGCCCCGGCGGCAACGGGCUUGCGGACGACGUGAAAAUCGUAAAAUCAAACGAGGGGGACCGCACGCCUCUGCAUCGCGAUGCAACUUCCCCGCUAAUCGCGCAACGCCGACACGGAUCGAGCCACGGCUGCAGCUCUGUGGACGCGGAGUGCCUGCCACUCAACCUCCCCCCCUUCCCCUGCCACGCUCUUCACGAGGGCGGCGACGGCGAUCUCGGGGCCUCCGUGACCACGGCAACCUCAAUGGUGCGCUCUCCGACGCUUUCAUACAAGGAUGUGAACCUGAUUGUCGUGAACCUGCACAUGCCAUCUGAAGCGUAUCGCCGGGUGCUGACCACUGCACGCACCAGUAGCAGCGGACAGCGCAGCAUGCAGCGCGCCGACAGCCACCUCAGCAGGUACGUCGGUCAGCCUGUGUUUGUCGGCGACCGUAGCUGCACCGAUGAACAAUACAAGGACGUUCUCAAGUACUUUCAGGAGGCGGAGAGUACUCUAUUCCAGGUAGUCGAGGAAGAGAUGCGAGCGAACGGCUUCGUGGAUGUCAACAGGACGAGCCGCUGGGUGCCGUGCACGCGCAUGGUGUGCGCACCGAUUCGCAUGCGGCCGACGUUUGUGCCGCACAUGCUCAACUUCUACAAGCCUUUUUUCGAGGAGGUAGAGGAGCGGCUGGUCGCGACGCUGCAGCGCACAGGUGGUGCGAGUGCGUCAUGCGUGCUGCACGCAGAGGCGCAGCGACAAUACUACAUCCUGCAGCGCGUGCUCCCUUUCAUCGAUCCGUAUUUGACGGGUGACCUUGGCCGCAUUCUCUUUGACAUCUACACCACAGACGGCAGCAUUCCUCGCUCGUUGGCAGAGCAGCUGAAGAAAACGAUUGCCAGAACGCGGGAUCGCAUUCAGCCUUUGCAGAAGAAGAGACGGCGGUGAUGAGAGUUACGGGACUGGAAUGGUCCUCUGCGUGCGAGACGAGUGGAGGCCGGCCCAGUCGAAGAGUACAACGCAUGAUGCGAAGAAGCGUCCGGCAACAUCCUUUUUCAUUUCUGUGGAUUCUUCACAUGUGCAAGUGGAUCACGUCUCGCAUGUGAGUGAGUUCCUCGAGGACUCUGAGACAACGAGCGAGUGCAUGUUGCGGCUCCGAUAGUUCUUGCCGACUCUUGUGUGCGGUGUUCGCUGUGCUUCGCUUUAUGUUUCUCCAAGCUCUUUUCCUUUGUUUUUCGAGAACCCUCCGCUGCCCUCCACGCCUGGAAGGGCUUGUUUUACGGAAGAUUAUGAACAACAGGCACGCGGUGGUGACGGCAGGGGCGGGAUUACCGGUGGCGUAUGCGCUUUAGCGACAGCGUAGCCAACCAGCAGUGCAGAAACCUCGAAGAAGUCGGCGGCUGUCGCCGAGCGGAUUGCGGCGAUUACACUCUUUUUUUCUUUGUUUCUUCAUGUAUGGUAGCCGUUCUCAGAGCUAGUACACAUUCCCGCAGCUGCGCACGUGGUGCGUCUUGCGUGCCUCUUUGGUCGCAAAUGAGUGGACACACAUGUGAGAGCGCCUGCCGAUGUGUGCCUUAGGUCUACGUGCGUGUAUACGGGUGCGCUCUUGCUUUCUUUUCCCGCCUGUGUUCCUUAUUAUAUAUUUCCAUAUAUCUGUAUGUGCUGUUUUGGUUGCGUGUUCGAGUGUUGUCUCAACAUGGGCGGCGACUGUGUUUGAGGUGCCUCGUAUGGAUGGCGGGAGCACCGACGCUGCACACCCUCUCCUUAUGCUCGUCUCCCUUUUUUUUUUCGCUCCUCUAGUACUCCACGCUUUCACUUUUCUCCAUUGCCAUUUAUUUCGCUCUCGCUCGUGUAUGUGUGGAUGUGCAUCCUUCGUCCAUCAAACCUUCGCGUUGCUGGCCGUCAACGCUCUUCUUCUUUCUUUUCUCUGUGCGCGUGCGCGUGCAUGUGAGCAGGUGUGUCACAGGACAGCGUAUGCAACCGUUUACCACGCCCGCCGUGGCUUUCGCCAUUGUUCUCCGACACCCCUCUUCCCUUUCCUUUUCCCGCUGCCUUUGUGCUUUGCUGCUCUU
rnacentral:misc_RNA from 1 species